rnacentral:rRNA from 1 species
UCGAGCGAGACCAGGGCUUCGGCCCUGGGGACAGCGGCGAACGGGUGAGUAACACGUGGAUAACCUGCCCUCGGCACCGGGAUAGCCCGAGGAAACUCGGAUUAAUACCGGAUAGCCUUACCGACUCUCGGGUCGGUUCGAAAAGGUAGCUUCGGCCUCCGGCCGAGGAUGGGUCCGCGGCGGAUUAGCUUGUUGGUGGGGUAAUGGCCUACCAAGGCUCCGAUCCGUAGCUGGUCUGAGAGGACGAUCAGCCACACUGGGACUGAGACACGGCCCAGACUCCUACGGGAGGCAGCAGUGGGGAAUCUUGCGCAAUGGGCGAAAGCCUGACGCAGCGACGCCGCGUGAGGGAAGAAGGCCUUCGGGUUGUAAACCUCUUUCAGGAGGGACGAAGCUACUCGGGUGAAUAGCCCAGAGGGUGACGGUACCUCCAGAAGAAGCCCCGGCUAACUACGUGCCAGCAGCCGCGGUAAUACGUAGGGGGCAAGCGUUG